rnacentral:rRNA from 1 species
UGAAUACGAGAUGCUACGGCGUCGAAGCAGUCUAUGUCAUACUUCCAAGAAAAGCUUGCACUGUCAUAAACAAAUAAUGCCUGUACCAUAACCGACACAGGUGGGUAGGUAGAGUAUACUAAGGGGCGCGAGAUAACUCUCUCUAAGGAACUCGGCAAAAUGACUCCGUAACUUCGGGAGAAGGAGUGCCUUAUUUAUAAGGUUGCAAUAACAAGAUCCAAGCAACUGUUUACCAAAAACACAGGUCUCCGCUAAGUCGUAAGACGUUGUAUGGGGGCUGACGCCUGCCCAGUGCCAGAAGGUUAAAGAAGUUGGUUAGCAUCCGCGAAGCUGAUAACUGAAGCCCUGGUGAACGGCGGCCGUAACGAUAACGGUCCUAAGGUAGCGAAAUUCCUUGUCGGGUAAGUUCCGACCCGCACGAAAGGCGUAAUGAUUUGGAUACUGUCUCGGAGAGGGGCUCGGUGAAAUAGACUUGUCUGUGAAGAUGCGGACUACCUGCACCAGGACAGAAAGACCCUAUGAAGCUUUACUGUAACCUGAAAUUGAAAUUGGACUUUACUUGCGCAGUAUAGGUGGGAGGCGUUGAGAAUAUUCUUGCGGGAUUAUUGGAGCCAUCAGUGAGAUACCACUCUUGUAAUGUUAGAUUUCUAACUUUGUAUCAUUAUCUGGUCAAAGAACAGUUUCAGGCGGGCAGUUUGACUGGGGCGGUCGCCUCCUAAACGGUAACGGAGGCGCACAAAGGUUUCCUCUGAACGGGUAGAAAUCGUAUCUAGAGUGUAAAGGCAUAAGGAAGCUUGACUGUGAGACCUACAAGUCGAGCAGGGACGAAAGUCGGUCUUAGUGAUCUGACGGUGCUGAGUGGAAAGGCCGUCACUCAACGGAUAAAAGUUACUCUAAGGAUAACAGGCUGAUCUCCCCCAAGAGUUCACAUCGACGGGGAGGUUUGGCACCUCGAUGUCGGCUCAUCGCAUCCUGGGGCGGUAGUACAUCCCAAGGGUUGGGCUGUUCGCCCAUGAAAGCGGUACGCGAGCUGGGUUCAGAACGUCGUGAGACAGUUCGGUCCAUAUCCGGUGUAGGCGUUAGAAUAUUGAGAGGAGCCUUCUUUAGUACGAGAGGACCGAGAAGGACAUACCUCUGGUGUACCAGUUAUCGUGCCAACGGUAAACGCUGGGUAGCUAUGUGUGGAGUGGAUAACCGCUGAAAGCAUCUAAGUGGGAAGUCCACCUCAAGAUAAG